UUGUAUAUUUCCCCUGGCAUUAAGAGGUUGAAAUAGCUAUUAGGAAGAAAAAUGAUAUUUUCCACUUUUCUCGACAUUUUCAGGGACGUGGAAAUGAGGAUGAAUCCUGGCAGUGUUGUGGAAUGACAUGACGGUGGUGAUUUGUGUGGCUACACUAGGGUGGAGGGACACCUUUGUGUGUUUACUGCCAAGGACAGAAGAGUGAAAUACAUGGUAUGAAUCAGACAGAAGGAUCUUCAGAUUGGGGCAGCACAGAAAUCAGAGGACUCCACCCUCGGAGACAGCUGUCAAGAUGAGCAGUGGCAUUUGUACCAGCCAUGGAAGGGGGGGAUGAUCUUGCAUCUAUACCUAGACAAGGCCUGACCAGCCUGACCAACAGCAUGCAAAGGAUCCCUGCCAGGCAGGUGACACAGAAAUGGGGGACAGUGCACGGACCCUCAGCCCUCCCUCAGGUACCAGCAUGGACUGACACCACCUCAACAGUCUCCAAGUUCCAAAAAAUUGUAUUCAUCCCUCGAUAAACCAUAAAUAGGAUGGUUUAUUAUUCAAGAGCACUGAGUCUGUGAAAAUCCCUGUCUGAGGCUGUGAAGAUAUGAGUGCGGAGACCAACAUGUGCCCCGUGAACUUGCCAUUCAACGAUGGAAAGCAAAUGGACAUGUGCUCUGAGCAAGGAAAAUGUCUUAUAAUUGUGGUUAUACUGCAGAUGUGAUGUGACAUAAUCUGCAGUCACAAGUGAGUCACGGUGGCACACAGCUGGUAAGAGAGUGUGCAGAGGAGCAAAGGCGGGAGACUCUCUGACUUCUGCUUCAGGGUGUCCCCCCAGCCCAGAGCUGUCCACUGCUGCCACACAAUAAAGUAGGAGUGGAUCUCAAGAACAAAAAUCAGCUUUUCCAAGGACAACAGGUCUUUCCAUCCUCAUCUCCCUGAGCCAUGAAAGCCACUGGGUAAAGCCAACCAAAAUGGACAAUUGCACAAAAUCAGAGAGGAGAGGAGAGUGAGAGUCCCAGCAAGUAGGGAUGGCCAACAGAGGGACGGAUCGCGAAAGGAGCUUAAAGCUGGAGUACGAAGGAACAUCACAUAGGGGGGCUGUCUGGCUCUGGAGUGCUGAAUCUCAAAUAAAAUGAGGAAGACACCAAGACACGGAUGAUUAUAGCCCAGGACAGAGGUUCCAAGCAUGUACAGGAGGAGCUGAUAACCACACAGGAGGGAACCCAAGAGAAAUGUGACCAGCAGUUAAAUCCUGGGGCCAGAGAAAUGUGACUUCUGUGCUGUCUGGACCAUUUGGAGGGCAAAGUGCAGAAGCAGAUACUGUCGAGUGGGUAAGCUGCUUCAUCUUUGG